rnacentral:rRNA from 1 species
CCUACGGGAGGCAGCAGUGGGGAAUAUUGCACAAUGGGGGAAACCCUGAUGCAGCAACGCCGCGUGAGUGAAGAAGUAUUUCGGUACGUAAAGCUCUAUCAGCAGGGAAGAAAAUGACAGUACCUGACUAAGAAGCCCCGGCUAACUACGUGCCAGCAGCCGCGGUAAUACGUAGGGGGCAAGCGUUAUCCGGAUUUACUGGGUGUAAAGGGAGCGUAGACGGCUGCGCAAGUCAGAAGUGAAAGCCCGGGGCUCAACCGCGGGACUGCUUUUGAAAGUGUGUAGCUAGAGUGCAGGAGAGGUAAGUGGAAUUCCUAGUGUAGCGGUGAAAUGCGUAGAUAUUAGGAGGAACACCGGUGGCGAAGGCGGCUUACUGGACUGUAACUGACGUUGAGGCUCGAAAGCGUGGGGAGCAAACAGGAUUAGAUACCCGGGUAGUC